GACGGAGGGUGCUAUCGUUGUUCGGAAUCACUGGGCGUAAAGGGCGCGUAGGCGGCGCCGCAAGUCGGCUGUGAAAGCCCGGGGCCCAACCCCGGAGGUGCAGUCGAGACUGUGGUGCUGGAGGCCGGAAGAGGAGGGUGGAAUACCCAGUGUAGAGGUGAAAUUCGUAGAUAUUGGGUGGAACACCGGUGGCGAAAGCGGCUCUCUGGUCCGGUCCUGACGCUGAGGCGCGAAAGCGUGGGGAGCAAACAGG
rnacentral:rRNA from 1 species